GAUGAACGCUGGCGGCGUGCCUAAUACAUGCAAGUCGAGCGAACGGACGAGAAGCUUGCUUCUCUGAUGUUAGCGGCGGACGGGUGAGUAACACGUGGAUAACCUACCUAUAAGACUGGGAUAACUUCGGGAAACCGGAGCUAAUACCGGAUAAUAUUUUGAACCGCAUGGUUCAAAAGUGAAAGACGGUCUUGCUGUCACUUAUAGAUGGAUCCGCGCUGCAUUAGCUAGUUGGUAAGGUAACGGCUUACCACGGCAACGAUGCAUAGCCGACCUGAGAGGGUGAUCGGCCACACUGGAACUGAGACACGGUCCAGACUCCUACGGGAGGCAGCAGUAUGGAAUCUUCCGCAAUGGGCGAAAGCCUGACGGAGCAACGCCGCGUGAGUGAUGAAGGUCUUCGGAUCGUAAAACUCUGUUAUUAGGGAAGAACAUAUGUGUAAGUAACUGUGCACAUCUUGACGGUACCUAAUCAGAAAGCCACGGCUAACUACGUG
rnacentral:rRNA from 1 species